rnacentral:rRNA from 1 species
GACGAACGCUGGCGGCGUGCCUAACACAUGCAAGUCGAACGGAACGGUCCCGCUUUUGUGGGGUGGUCGAGUUGAGAACGGGUGAGCUACCCGUGGGUUACCUGUAACUGACCUAGGGAUAUCUUCAGGACACUGGGGGUCAUACCGGCAAGGAGUUAUCGCCGUUUGGUGGGGGCUGGUUGGUUUAGGUGGUUGGGGAUGGACUAGCGGCCUAUGAGCUUGUUGGUGGGGUAGUGGCUUAGCAAGGCCUUGACGGGUAGGCGGCCUGGGAGGGGAACAGGCCACAUUGGGACUGAGAUGCGGCCCAGACUCCUACGCGAGGCAACAGUGGGGAAGAGAGCACAAUGGACGGGAGCCUGAUGCAGCAACGCCGCGUGCGGGAUGACGGCCUUCGGGUUGUGAACCACUUUCGCCUGUGACGAAGCGUGAAUGACGGUAAUGGGUAAAGAAGCACCGGCUAACUACGUG